rnacentral:rRNA from 1 species
GAUGAACGCUGGCGGCGUGCCUAAUACAUGCAAGUCGAGCGAACGGACGAGAAGCUUGCUUCUCUGAUGUUAGCGGCGGACGGGUGAGUAACACGUGGAUAACCUACCUAUAAGACUGGGAUAACUUCGGGAAACCGGAGCUAAUACCGGAUAAUAUUUUGAACCGCAUGGUUCAAAAGUGAAAGACGGUCUUGCUGUCACUUAUAGAUGGAUCCGCGCUGCAUUAGCUAGUUGGUAAGGUAACGGCUUACCAAGGCAACGAUGCAUAGCCGACCUGAGAGGGUGAUCGGCCACACUGGAACUGAGACACGGUCCAGACUCCUACGGGAGGCAGCAGUAGGGAAUCUUCCGCAAUGGGCGAAAGCCUGACGGAGCAACGCCGCGUGAGUGAUGAAGGUCUUCGGAUCGUAAAACUCUGUCAUUAGGGAAGAACGUAUGUGUAAGUAACUGUGCACAUCUUGACGGUACCUAAUCAGAAAGCCACGGCUAACUACGUG